GAAUCUGCCUGGUAGUGGGGGAUAACGUUCGGAAACGGACGCUAAUACCGCAUACGUCCUACGGGAGAAAGCAGGGGACCUUCGGGCCUUGCGCUAUCAGAUGAGCCUAGGUCGGAUUAGCUAGUUGGUGGGGUAAUGGCUCACCAAGGCGACGAUCCGUAACUGGUCUGAGAGGGUGAUCAGUCACACUGGAACUGAGACACGGUCCAGACUCCUACGGGAGGCAGCAGUGGGGAAUAUUGGACAAUGGGCGAAAGCCUGAUCCAGCCAUGCCGCGUGUGUGAAGAAGGUCUUCGGAUUGUAAAGCACUUUAAGUUGGGAGGAAGGGUUGUAGAUUAAUACUCUGCAAUUUUGACGUUACCGACAGAAUAAGCACCGGCUAACUCUGUGCCAGCAGCCGCGGUAAUACAGAGGGUGCAAGCGUUAAUCGGAAUUACUGGGCGUAAAGCGCGCGUAGGUGGUUUGUUAAGUUGGAUGUGAAAUCCCCGGGCUCAACCUGGGAACUGCAUUCAAAACUGACUGACUAGAGUAUGGUAGAGGGUGGUGGA
rnacentral:rRNA from 1 species